CGGACGGGUGAGUAAUGUCUGGGAAACUGCCCGAUGGAGGGGGAUAACUACUGGAAACGGUAGCUAAUACCGCAUAACGUCGCAAGACCAAAGAGGGGGACCUUCGGGCCUCUUGCCAUCGGAUGUGCCCAGAUGGGAUUAGCUAGUAGGUGGGGUAACGGCUCACCUAGGCGACGAUCCCUAGCUGGUCUGAGAGGAUGACCAGCCACACAGGAACUGAGACACGGUCCAG
rnacentral:rRNA from 1 species